UACGGAGGGUGCAAGCGUUAUCCGGAUUCACUGGGUUUAAAGGGUGCGUAGGCGGGCAGGUAAGUCCGUGGUGAAAUCUCCGAGCUUAACUCGGAAACUGCCAUGGAUACUAUUUGUCUUGAAUGUUGUGGAGGUGAGCGGAAUAUGUCAUGUAGCGGUGAAAUGCUUAGAUAUGACAUAGAACACCAAUUGCGAAGGCAGCUUAACUACACAACGAUUGACGCUGAGGCACGAAAGCGUGGGGAUCAAACAGG
rnacentral:rRNA from 1 species